CAGAAAGACCUUCAACUGGGUCUCACGCUGCAAGUCUCCCCUGAGACCUCUCAGCCAGCCAGGAUCAAGGAAUGUGCUCGCACACCCAGGGUAUACAGGCUUCAGGUGGAUGGAAUAAUUAAAGUUCUGAUCUGAUACUGCCGUUGGAUCCUUGUGACUCAGUCCUAUUGCAUGGCUCAGCACCUCAUCGUAUUGCAAACACUAGGUGAUUAAAUGAACCAAGUUGCGGAGUCGAGAUCUGGGAGGAGGCAACAAUCACUUCGUGUAAUAAAGCAGCACCUUCCGAAGGCGAGCAUAGACCUGAGCGCCAACACCAGCAGCUGAGGCCGAGUGAGGAGGACAUCCGAGGCGGACACUUACCAACUCAGUUACAGAGUUCUGGAAAAGGACAGGCUUUGAGGAGCCAAAACAUGGGAACAACCGGAGGCUUCCGGAGAAUUCUCUCCCACAUACUGGCUGGACACGGAGUCCUAGAGGGUGUCCCUGCUGGUGUCACAAUCCAGCCCUGCUGGCAGGAAGUGGGGCGGUGGGUGGCAAAUCAGGCUCGCAGUGUGUUGGUGAGAUUGUUUUCAGAAUGCUUGUAUCUUGUCAGGGAGCACUGGUACCCUCUGUGUGUCCUCUCUGAAUCUAGUCCUGAGUCACCCGCCCACUGGGAGAGUCUGUCCUGGCCAGGGAUACUCCAGAAUGAGAGACGACGCAGCAAUACUUCUUCCUUGACUCCGGAAGAUAUCUGUGCAUAGUCAGAAAUCUGGGUUUCUAACUAGCCAUGUGUGCUUUUGUCUCUAACGUUCCUUCCAGCUUGGAAAUAUU